CCACUGCACUCCAGCCUGGGCGACAGAGGGAGAGAAGGAGAAGGACAAGGACAAGGAGAAGGAAAAGAAGAAGAGGAGGAGGAGGAGGAGGAGGAAGAGGAGGAAGAACUCCACCAGCAGAUGGAGGCCUUAAGAAGCCACAUGUGUUCCUGCCUGCCCCUCUGCUAUAUGAAUGAAAAGAACAUGUGUAAGAAGAUUAGAGAUACAUGGAGGGACCAGGGCAAAGCACUCAUGGCACCGUGGAGGGAGUUAUCACAGGAGUGGCAGAGGACAAAGUGAUCAUGCCUGCGGAUACCUAGGGUUACAAAAUCAUCUGCUAUCUUCCUAGAAAAAGAUCUUGGAGCUCAUUCCAUAAGUGACUUGCAUUUCAACAGGAUUCUUCAAAAGUGACAAGAAAACACAGGAAACCAACACCAUUUUGAAUCGUUUUCUCAUGAAGCUGAUUGGCAAGCAUUCCUUCAUGAAAUCGCUCAGCACGUAAUCUGGCAUUCAUGAGCUGUAUGUAUGGAAAACUCAAGGAGUCUGAGGUGUGAGCAAUCAACUGAAGGCACAUCUUGUAAUGGCCAUUGAUUCUGUGAACAUUAGCAGCAUUAAUAUGUGCUUUGUGAUAAUAGAAGGUUUGUCAUUAUUUCAAUGUCACCGUUGGAGAUUAUGAGGCAUAGAAAAGUAUAGAGUAGGGAAAUGCAAAUUAAAAUAACAAUGAGACACAAUUUCAGAGCCAUUAGAUUGGCAACUUUUUCAAUCCUGAUAACACUAACUGUGGUGAGGGUGGAGAACCAGAAACAGGCUUUUAUACUCAGUCUGUGGGAGGGAAAAAUUGGAAUAAUUACAAUAGAGAACAAUUUUGCAGUGCUUAGUAAAGUUGAGACGUACAUAAUUUCAAUUCACCAAAUAUACUUUUUUUUUUAAGCAGGUUUUUUUGUUGUUCUUUUUGAGACAGAGUCUUGCUCUGUUGCCCAGGCUAGGGU